GCCCAGGUGGUGGAAUUGGUAGACACACCAGCUUGAGGGGCUGGCGCUUCGCGGCGUGCGAGUUCGAAUCUCGCCCUGGGCA
rnacentral:tRNA from 1 species